rnacentral:rRNA from 1 species
AUUGAACGCUGGCGGCAUGCUUUACACAUGCAAGUCGAACGGUAACAUAAGAAAGCUUGCUUUCUUGAUGACGAGUGGCGAACGGGUGAGUAAUACAUCGGAACGUACCCUGUAGUGGGGGAUAACUACUCGAAAGAGUGGCUAAUACCGCAUACAACCUGAGGGUAAAAGUGGGGGACCGCAAGGCCUCACGCUAUAGGAGCGGCCGAUGGAAGAUUAGGGUAGUUGGUGGGGUAAAGGCCUACCAAGCCGACGAUCUUUAGCGGGUCUGAGAGGACGAUCCGCCACACUGGGACUGAGACACGGCCCAGACUCCUACGGGAGGCAGCAGUGGGGAAUUUUGGACAAUGGGCGAAAGCCUGAUCCAGCAAUGCCGCGUGAGUGAAGAAGGCC